ACAGCCUGCUCCAAUUUCCACUACACGGACAGAAAUAAAGCUUGUCCGAACCACCAGUGUAGGUCCUCACUGGGAAUGACAGGACACUGUGUUUGUUCAGGAAUGAAAAUGCACCUGGAACCCUGAGAACAGUGGGAGAUAGCAUUCUCAGUUGGAUUUUAGGGAAGAUUUCUUCUCAGAAAGAGCAGUGAGGCGUUGGAAUGAGCUGCCCAGGGACUGGGUGGCAUCACCAUCCCAGGAGGUGUCCAAGAACCAUGGAGAUGUGGCACCAAGGGACAUGGGGAAGGAUGAAGAGGACGUAAGUGGGAAAGAGCAUUGCUGUAUGGCAGAUUACUUAGAAGCAAAGAAUCUUCAGUGCUUAUGAGACAGUGAAAAGAUAAUGUGCCUGAAAUGGUCCACUGCAACAUAAAUCUCAGGUAACACAAUAAACUCCUCUGCAAUGACAUAUAUUAUAUCAGGAAAAACAACAUAUUACUCCAGGGGAUUGAAGGCUGAAUGGCAUACAUUUACAGUGUCUGAGCUAUCAAUGCUGAA
rnacentral:lncRNA from 1 species